UACGAAGGGGACUAGCGUUGUUCGGAAUUACUGGGCGUAAAGCGCACGUAGGCGGAUUUGUAAGUCAGGGGUGAAAUCCUGGGGCUCAACCUCGGAACUGCCUUUGAUACUGCAAAUCUCGAGUCCGAUAGAGGUGGGUGGAAUUCCUAGUGUAGAGGUGAAAUUCGUAGAUAUUAGGAAGAACACCGGUGGCGAAGGCGGCCCACUGGAUCGGUACUGACGCUGAGGUGCGAAAGCGUGGGGAGCAAACAGG
rnacentral:rRNA from 1 species